rnacentral:rRNA from 1 species
UAAUACGGAGGGUGCAAGCGUUAAUCGGAAUUACUGGGCGUAAAGCGCGCGUAGGCGGUUUUUUAAGUCGGAUGUGAAAGCCCCGGGCUCAACCUGGGAACUGCAUCCGAUACUGGAAGACUAGAAUGCGGGAGAGGGAGGUAGAAUUCCAUGUGUAGCAGUGAAAUGCGUAGAUAUAUGGAGGAAUACCAGUGGCGAAGGCGGCCUCCUGGCUCGACAUUGACGCUGAGGUGCGAAAGCGUGGGGAGCAAACGGGAUUAGAUACCCCGGUAGUCCACGCCGUAAACGAUGUCUACUAGCUGUAGGGGUACUUGAGACCUUUGUAGCGCAGCUAACGCAAUAAGUAGACCGCCUGGGGAGUACGGCCGCAAGGUUAAAACUCAAAUGAAUUGACGGGGGCCCGCACAAGCAGUGGAGCAUGUGGUUUAAUUCGAUGCAACGCGAAGAACCUUACCAGGCCUUGACAUCCCCGGAACUUUCUAGAGAUAGAUUGGUGCCUUCGGGAACCGGGUGACAGGUGCUGCAUGGCUGUCGUCAGCUCGUGUCGUGAGAUGUUGGGUUAAGUCCCGUAACGAGCGCAACCCUUGUCCUUAGUUGCCAGCACGUAAUGGUGGGAACUCUAAGGAGACUGCCGGUGACAAACCGGAGGAAGGUGGGGACGACGUCAAGUCAUCAUGGCCCUUACGGCCUGGGCUACACACGUGCUACAAUGGCUAGGACAGACGGCUGCAAACCAGCGAUGGGGAGCUAAUCCGACAAACCUAGUCGUAGUCCGGAUUGGAGUCUGCGACUCGACUCCAUGAAGUCGGAAUUGCUAGUAAUCGCGAAUCAGAAUGUCGCGGUGAAUACGUUCCCGGGCCUUGUACACACCGCCCGUCACACCAUGGGAGUGGGUUGCUCCAGAAGUGGUUAGUCUAACCUUCGGGAGGACGAUCACCACGGAGUGAUUCAUGACUGGGGUGAAGUCGUAACAAGGUAGCCG